rnacentral:rRNA from 1 species
GAUGAACGCUAGCGGCAGGCCUAACACAUGCAAGUCGAGGGAGAGGUUACCUUCGGGUCACCAAAACCGGCGCACGGGUGCGUAACGCGUAUACAAUCUGCCUUUCACAUAGGGAUAGCCCGAAGAAAUUUGGAUUAAUACCUAAUGGUAUAUAAGAGCGGCAUCGUUUUUAUAUUAAAGCUACGGUGGUGAAAGAUGAGUAUGCGUUCUAUUAGCUAGUUGGAGAGGUAACGGCUCCCCAAGGCGACGAUAGAUAGGGGUUCUGAGAGGGAUGUCCCCCACACUGGUACUGAGAUACGGACCAGAAUCCUACGGGAGGCAGCAGUGAGGAAUAUUGGACACUGGUGGGAAGACUGAUCCAGCCAUGCCGGGUGCAGGAGGAAGGUCCUAGGGAUUGUAAACUGCUUUUGAAAGGGAAGAAUAAGGAGUACGUGUACUUUGAUGACGGUACCUUACGAAUAAGCAUCGGCUAACUACGUG